UAAUACGAGGGUGCAAGCGUUAAUCGGAAUUACUGGGCGUAAAGCGCACGCAGGCGGUUUGUUAAGUCAGAUGUGAAAUCCCCGGGCUCAACCUGGGAACUGCAUUUGAAACUGGCAAGCUAGAGUCUCGUAGAGGGGGGUAGAAUUCCAGGUGUAGCGGUGAAAUGCGUAGAGAUCUGGAGGAAUACCGGUGGCGAAGGCGGCCCCCUGGACGAAGACUGACGCUCAGGUGCGAAAGCGUGGGGAGCAAACAGGAUUAGAUACCCUGGUAGUCCACGCUGUAAACGAUGUCGAUUUGGAGGUUGUGCCCUUGAGGCGUGGCUUCCGGAGCUAACGCGUUAAAUCGACCGCCUGGGGAGUACGGCCGCAAGGUUA
rnacentral:rRNA from 1 species